ensembl:snRNA U6 U6 spliceosomal RNA
GUGCUUGCUUUGGCAGCACAUAUACUAAAAUUGGAAUGAUACAGAGAAGAUUAGCAUGGCCCCUGUGCAGGGAUGACACACAAAUUUGUGAAGCGUUCCAGAUUUUU